UUACUGGGCGUAAAGGGAGCGUAGGCGGAUGAUUAAGUGGGAUGUGAAAUACCCGGGCUCAACUUGGGUGCUGCAUUCCAAACUGGUUAUCUAGAGUGCAGGAAAGGAGAGUGGAAUUCCUANUGUAGCGGUGAAAUGCGUAAAGAUUAGGAAAAACACCAGUGGCGAAGGCGACUCUUUGGACUGUAACUGACNCUAAGGCUCGAAAGCGUGGGGAGCAAACAGGAUUANAUNCCCUGGUANUCCNCGCCGUAAACAAUGAAUACUAGGUGUGGGGGUUUCAACACCUCCGUGCCNCCNCUAACGCAUUAAGUAUUCCGCCUGGGGAGUACGGUCGCAAGAUUAAAACUCAAAGGAAUUGACGGGGACCCGCACAAGUAGCGGAGCAUGUGGUUUAAUUCGAAGCAACGCGAAGAACCUUACCUACNCUUGACAUCCCUUGCAUUACUCUUAAUCGAGGAAAUCCCUUCGGGGACAAGGUGACAGGUGGUGCAUGGUUGUCGUCAGCUCGUGUCGUGAGAUGUUGGGUUAAGUCCCGCAACGAGCGCAACCCUUGUCGUUAGUUACUACCAUUAAGUUGAGGACUCUAGCGAGACUGCCUGGGUUAACCAGGAGGAAGGUGGGGAUGACGUCAAAUCAUCAUGCCCCUUAUGUGUAGGGCUACACACGUGCUACAAUGGCUGGUACAGAGAGAUGCAAUACCGCGAGGUGGAGCCAAACUUAAAAACCAGUCUCAGUUCGGAUUGUAGGCUGAAACUCGCCUACAUGAAGCUGGAGUUACUAGUAAUCGCGAAUCAGAAUGUCGCGGU
rnacentral:rRNA from 1 species